rnacentral:snRNA from 1 species
GGGUGUGAAGGCAAUCUGGCUACGACAUCUGUCACCCCGUCGAUCGCCAGGGUUGAUUCAGCUGAUCUGGCUGGCUAGGUGGGCGUCCCCUUCCUCCCUCACUGCUCCAUGUCCAUCCCUCCUGAAGCCGCAUGCUCCGUUGAAGAUGGCAACCUUCCCAGGUAGAGGAGGACCACUCUUCAGUCAAGGGUAUAGGAGUAGCAGCAUUCCCCUGCUAGAACCCCCAAAUAAGCUCUCAAGGUCCAGUUACAGAACAUAGGGUAGUCAAGCUUCCAAGACUUCAGACACAUGCAAAUGAGGCACUACCUGUGGCACUCUGCCUCUCUAU